CCCUAACCAAACAAAACAGGUGUACAAGUAACUCAUCAGGUGAGAGCUCUAACCAAACAAAACAGGUAUAAAAGGAACUCAUCAGGUGAAAAUCCUUACCAAACAAAACAGGUGUACAAGGAACUCAUCAUGUGAGAACCCUAACCAAACAAAACAGGUGUACAAGGAACACAUCCAAAAACAGGUGUACAAGGAACACAUUCAAAAACAGGUGUACAAGGAACACAUCCAAAAACAGGUGUACAAGGAAUACAUCCAAAAACAGGUGUACAAGGAACACAUCCAAAAACAGGUGUACAAGGAACUUAUCAUGUGAGAACCCUUACCAAACAAAACAGGUGUACAAGGAACUUAUCAUGUGAGAACCCUUA